rnacentral:tRNA from 1 species
GUGAACAUAAUUUAACUAAAAUAUUAGGUUGUGGUCCUAAAAAUGAAGGCUAAUACCCUCCUGUUCACC